UCAGUCUUUCGAACGUAUGUAAGUGUAGAGAAUAUGUGGCGGGCAGUUUUUUUUUGUGGGGGGGGUGUGUGUAACUUUCUGCACCAACUCAUAGCAAAAUGCUUAAAAGACACUACGAACUCCAGUGUCAACCAGCCACCAUGAGUGUAAACUGUCUGCCAACCUGGGUGUGAUCCCAUAAAUGUUCCAAUGAAGUCACUCCCAUGUGAGCAGUGCCGGUGGGUCAAGAGGACAGUUAAUUGGUCUGCCAACCUGGAUGUGAACCCCUGAAAAUACAGCAAGUAAUGCCAUUGGGAUCAGGUAAUGGGGUCAAAGAUGUUGUGCCAAGGACCGGACUCAAGAACUGAAAUUCACCAAAAGAAUGAUCAGUGACUGACUAAAAGAAACUAGUUCAAUGCAAACAUUAGUAAAUGUCAAGUUUAAUGGCGCACUUAAAACCAGAAAGUCACCGGGCUCUAAGCCCCACAGUUAAUCAGUGUGAAAGGCUGAAUUAUAAGGUGCUUUCUUCAGUGUGUCCAGGAAGAACUGCUCGUCCUGCAGAAAGUCACGAUCCUAAGAAGAUAAAACAAGUACCUUUAUCUACAAUAAAGAUUUGAAACUAA